rnacentral:rRNA from 1 species
AGCGAACGCUGGCGGCGUGCUUGACACAUGCAAGUCGAACGUGAAAUGUAGCAAUACAGAGUAAAGUGGCGUACGGGUGAGUAACACGUGGGUAAUCUACCACAGAGCCUGGAAUAACCGACCGAAAGGUUGGCUAAUACUGGAUAGUUCAAAUGAAAUAUAAUGUUUCGAUUGGGAAAGGGAGCGAGCAAUCGCCUUCACUUUUUGAUGAGCCCGCGUCUGAUUAGCUAGUUGGUAGGGUAAUGGCCUACAAAGGCGACGAUCAGUAGCUGGUCUGAGAGGAUGAUCAGCCACACUGGAACUGAAACACGGUCCAGACUCCUACGGGAGGCAGCAGUGGGGAAUCUUGCGCAAUGGACGAAAGUCUGACGCAGCCACGCCGCGUGAGUGAAGAAGGCCUUCGGGUUGUAAAGCUCUGUCGGAAGGGACAAAAACGUUUAAGGUUAAUAGCCUUAGAUCUUGAUGGUACCUUCAAAGGAAGCACCGGCUAACUUCGUGCCAGCCGCCGCCGUAA